rnacentral:lncRNA from 1 species
UAAGGACUUAAGGGAUCGUUUUUCAUCCUAAAGAUCAAGUUUAAAAUAUGACAGUAAAAAGAGCUGAAGAGUCAGUGCCUGAUCUUCCUGUUGGCAUAGUUGCCAUUCCAAGGGUCAGCUCUGGCAUAUUCUACCAUAGGCAUCUUUUUGACCUAAUGUCGGAGGAACCUUCAUGUUGAUAUAUGUUAUUAUCUAUAUGAAAACAGACACUUGGGCUAUACUACCACUUAGUUAGCAAAAAUGUACUUUCAGUGUAUGGAUUUUUUAAAUACACAGCUUAUGAAUCAUUUUGAUAAAUUUUUUUAAUUUAAAGUCAAUUCCACCUUGAAAUAAAUGCAUCUGUGUCUAUGUAUUGAGAUAAUUUUGAGCACUCUGAAUUUUGGACAAAUGUGUGUGUCUGGCUAUUGUUGAGUUCACCUUAUGGAUAUUGGUUGGCAGUUUAAUAGUACUUGGGGAUUUAUUCUCUGUUGAUUUUCAUGAACCUGUUUGUUUUACAGAAUCAGGAAAAGGUAGAGAAGGUUGGGACAGAGAUGCUAACUGACAUAAGUCAAGGGACAGACAGACUCAGUCUAAGCUAAACCUCUGAGAAGAUAAGGAAAGACAUCAACUCAGAACAAUAAACAUGACUUUCUGUAUAGUCUGCCCUAAAUGGGCUGCACAGGGCCAAACCAAUCAGACAAUAGCUCCAUGUUAUGCAUACUGUGGAUUCUGGUUACUGUUGUUCUUGUGAUGAAGGAAAAGGAAUUCUUAUUGUUGCUGCUCAUGCAGAAAGGAUAG